rnacentral:misc_RNA from 1 species
UAGGGGGCUAGCGUUGUCCGGAAUCACUGGGCGUAAAGGGUUCGCAGGCGGAAAUGCAAGUCAGAUGUAAAAGGCAGUAGCUUAACUACUGUAAGCAUUUGAAACUGCAUAUCUUGAGAAGAGUAGAGGUAAGUGGAAUUUUUAGUGUAGCGGUGAAAUGCGUAGAUAUUAAAAAGAAUACCGGUGGCGAAGGCGACUUACUGGGCUCAUUCUGACGCUGAGGAACGAAAGCGUGGGUAGCAAACAGGA